rnacentral:tRNA from 1 species
GGGCGUUUAGCUCAGCUGGUUCAGAGCAUCUGCCUUACAAGCAGAGGGUCGGCGGUUCGAAUCC